UCAAUAAAUCAAGGAGAAAAUUUUCCAAGCUAUUUUAACUCUUUACUCACCAGUAUUGUUCUAUUUCCAUUAUGGAAAUGUAUCUGUCAAUAAGAUUGUUUUCCUGCCUUAUAAUACAUAUGUUCUCCAGUCAUCCAACAUAUGUAAAUUUUGUUGUCUUAUUUCAUUCUGCCCAAUGAAGAGAGCAGAAGCUUACAUAUUCAAAACUCCACUAAAAUGUCCCCUUAAAUUGAUAUUUUACCUCUUUUGUUUCACCUUGAAACUCAGUCAUCAUUAAGUAAGAGUUAUGUGCAGCUCUCUUAAAGGACUGACUUUCUUUCUACAUCCACUGCCCAAAUUGCCUCCUCCCCCCUCCACCACCGGUGAUUUUUCCGGCUGGGUUACUCAUGAAAGUGCUAGCACAUGGGUGAUUACAUAAGAAAAGAGAUCUCCUUGAAUGUCUGUCUGGUGAUAAGAACACAUGGAUACUGGGGCAUUGUUCUGGUUGCUAGUAGAAACUCUGAUAUGAAAUUAGAGCAUGAUCCCCAAAGUUCACUGGCCGUGAAUGCAGUCCCUGUAGCUCUUUUAAAGACUACGAAAUCUAAGUCACAUUGGCCAGAAAGACCUGAUAAGUUGUGGAAUUCGGAGAACGAAGGAGAAAAGAUUAAGAAAACAAACAAGCAAAAUCACCCUUUCCCUUCCACUCUGUACUCUCCUCAAGACCAAUGUAUCUUCUAAAGCUAAAGGACGUAUCUCUUAGCUUCAUAAAAGAGGUUGAAUAGUCAGGCCACAGGAGUGAAAACAAGAACAUAAAAGCAACACAUGUCCUUGGUAAAGCAUUUGGCAGCUCUAGAAUAUUCUCCAUGGCAAUGGCAAACUGGUGCCUUCAGAUGUCUCUUAGCAACAGUAAUUCAGAUUAUAGGAUUUGGCCUUUGGUUCCUGAAUUCUCUGUGUGCUUAGCACAUGCUGGAACAUUUGUAUGAGAAGCAUUUUUUUCUGGCAAGAGCUUCUUAGUUUGAAUCUCAAGUGUGGAAUUAACAAGAAGCUAACACCCCAUACAACAGAAAUUGCUGAAAGCAUGCUCUCUCAUAAACAAUGUGUUGGAGACCCUAUCGUCCUUCCUCGGCUUCCAGACCAUCUGGAU
rnacentral:lncRNA from 11 species